CCCAUCCUCAGGACACCCUGCCCUGCUCUCCCUGCGAUGCCCAGCCACCCCCACGAGGUCCCUGUCCCCUGCGUUAGGUGCUGAAGCAGCAGGCUCCCGGUGCUGCACACACCAAGGUGGCCCAGGUCAGCAAGCCCGGAGAGCGGUGGAUGAGCGCUGGGCACCGGCCUAGCCACACGCACACACCGGCACCAUGGACUUCGU